AGGAAGAUCCUGCCGACUUCUACAAAGCUCCAAUAAGUCGGGAUCAGUAGAAUUAAGUUGGCCUACUCGACGAACAAAAAAGCGCCGAAUCUCUCCAUAAUUGGUCAACAUAAUCAGUUCAUCUAAAAUAACAUUAAUUUUAUCUUUGCGUAUUGUAAUAGGUGGUGUUGAAGUAAGGUUAGCAACAGAUUCAGGUUGAGGGUCCACAAAUAGAGGUAGAAAAGGAUUAUCGGAAGGAUUAAUAUGAUCCUUAUAAGCAACUAAGUCCUCAACGUUGAAAGUAGAGUAACAGCCAAAGUGUGAUGGAAGAUCAAUGACGUACGCAUUUGGACCAACAAGCUUUAAAAUUUUAAAAGAACUAACACUACAGACUUGCAACUUGGAAGUGGAUCAAAAUGGACGUCAUUCCGACCUAAUUCAAAUCAUCACAUUAUCCCCUAUAUUAAAUUCAACAUGUCAUUUAUGCAAAUCAGUUUAAGUUCAUAUGAUGUCCUAACACAAAAUCCAUACUAACAUCUUGCAACAGACAACUAGGGAUGCGAAGAGUGGCGCAGAGACCAGCGUUUUGCCUCUUCUGUUUGGUCAGCUUACAGGUGUCAACUAUCUUAGCUAUAUCUAUCUUCAAACAAGGCCAAUAAAACUAACGUUCAACCUUCUCGAUGGUCUUAUCAAGUCGAAACAAGCCCCAGCAUAACUUUCCCAAACUAUAGUCUCAUACUGAGAUUUAAGGGAUACACAACUUAUUGGACCAUAAAAAAAAUAGCCUUCCACAAUAUGAAAACCAUCAGUAGUAUCCGAUUGCCCACUUUGCAAGGCAAGAAAAAUGUCUUUAAAAUUGGGAUAUUACUCGUAUUCUUUCUUAAGUCUUUCAGAACCUAUGACCAAGACACUUAUGAUCUAGGAAGCACCGACACGCUCCCGGCGACGACGUACCGGUGUCCGACACGAGUCGGACACCGAUACGCGUCCGACACGUCGCCGACGCGUGUCGGAGUCACGGAGUCGUGUGGUUGUGGUGGGCUGAAAAAAAGAAACCGGUGGAAAGAAAGAAGAAAAAAGAGAAGAAGAAGAAGAAGAAGAAGAAGAAGAGGAAGAGGAAGAUGAAGAACCUGUUACCUGUUGAGUGUUGAUUGUCAGGCAUAGACAGA
rnacentral:lncRNA from 1 species